UCGGGAAUUUUGGGCAAUGGGCGAAAGCCUGACCCAGCAACGCCGCGUGAGGGAUGAAGUAUUUCGGUAUGUAAACCUCGAAAGAAUGGGAAGAAUAAAUGACGGUACCAUUUAUAAGCUCCGGCUAACUACGUGCCAGCAGCCGCGGUAAUACGUAGGGAGCAAGCGUUGUUCGGAUUUACUGGGCGUAAAGGGCGCGUAGGCGGCGCGGUAAGUCACUUGUGAAAUCUCUGAGCUUAACUCAGAACGGCCAAGUGAUACUGCUGUGCUAGAGUGCGGAAGAGGCAACCGGAAUUCUUGGUGUAGCGGUGAAAUGCAUAGAUAUCAAGAGGAACACCUGAGGCGAAGGCGGGUUGCUGGGCCGACACUGACGCUGAUGCGCGAAAGCCAGGGGAGCAAACG
rnacentral:rRNA from 1 species